AUGCCAACUGUGGGGGGAAUAAAGUUGCUUAGCAACGUGGAAAUGGGAGAAGCUAUAAGGCUUCCCAGUGUUCACGCAAUCGUCCCUAUUUCUGUGCCUCUUCUACCUUUCAUCCCAGAGGUUAACUGGUGCUGUGAAUUCUGAAAUGUGUCAGACCCACACUGCAGUCUGAAGGCUCUCUCGACCUACGCUUGCUCCAUCUCCCGUUUAUCCUCCAUUUAUGUUUCCUCUAAUAAAUUCUUGCACAUCUAA